rnacentral:rRNA from 1 species
UACAGAGGGUGCGAGCGUUGUUCGGAAUUAUUGGGCGUAAAGCGCGUGUAGGCGGCCUAGCAAGUCGGGUGUGAAAGCCCUCGGCUUAACCGAGGAAGUGCGCCCGAAACUAUUAGGCUUGAGUACCGGAGAGGGUGGCGGAAUUCCCGGUGUAGAGGUGAAAUUCGUAGAUAUCGGGAAGAACACCGGAGGCGAAGGCGGGUUGCUGGGCCGACACUGACGCUGAGGCGCGAAAGCCAGGGGAGCAAACGGG